AUUGAACGCUGGCGGCAUGCUUUACACAUGCAAGUCGAACGGCAGCGCGGGCUUCGGCCUGGUGGCGAGUGGCGAACGGGUGAGUAAUGCAUCGGAACGUGCCCGGUAGUGGGGGAUAGCCCGGCGAAAGCCGGAUUAAUACCGCAUACGACCUGAGGGUGAAAGCGGGGGACCGAAAGGCCUCGCGCUAUUGGAGCGGCCGAUGUCGGAUUAGCUAGUUGGUGGGGUAAAGGCUUACCAAGGCGACGAUCCGUAGCUGGUCUGAGAGGACGACCAGCCACACUGGGACUGAGACACGGCCCAGACUCCUACGGGAGGCAGCAGUGGGGAAUUUUGGACAAUGGGGGCAACCCUGAUCCAGCCAUGCCGCGUGCGGGAAGAAGGCCUUCGGGUUGUAAACCGCUUUUGUUCGGGAAGAAAUCCUCUGGGCUAAUACCCCGGGGGGAUGACGGUACCGGAAGAAUAAGCACCGGCUAACUACGUG
rnacentral:rRNA from 1 species